AUGCCAUGAUGUGGACAUUUUCUUAGCAAUUCCUUAAACCAUGUGAAAGCUUCAUGAAAUCUCUCCCCUGAAUGUUGUUGGAAAGCUCUAAUUGCCUCCCGAGCUU
rfam:Helianthus annuus linkage group 13, whole genome shotgun sequence.